rnacentral:lncRNA from 1 species
GUUUGCUGUUUUGUUUCUUUCAACAGUGAAGCCAUAUGAUCUUUCAGCUGAAGAAACAGGCAAGGAACUUUAUAAGUGCUCUUGUGAAAAGCCUUUCAUAGUAUCUGCCAGCUCCUGAAAACUUCAGUGGGAUUGUUCGUCUCUUUGGUACAAGGAAAAGGGAUCAAUAUCUGAGAGAUCUAUUAAAUGAACUGGAUUUUAAAGCACAAUGGAAGAACCCAACUGUCUGAGAGAGCUGCCCAUGGGUGUUGUAAAGAUCAUUUCCAACAAUAAAAUCCAAUUUAAACUUUUAUGAUAAAAGUGUAGAAGAGCUUAAAAAUAGCUCAGGUAUUUUUCUAGAGAAGGUGAUGUCAUUCUUUCCAUCAGCAGAAAGAAUAUUUUACUCAUGCUUUAGUCUUUGUU